ensembl:lncRNA
NNNNNNNNNNNNNNNNNNNNNNNNNNNNNNNNNNNNNNNNNNNNNNNNNNNNNNNNNNNNNNNUGGGAUUGGGACACCGGGAACGGAACGGGAUCAGCAAUGGAACGGGAUUGGGAUUGGGAAUGGGAUUGGGACACCGGGAACAGACUGGGAUUGGGAUUGGGAAUGGGAUUGGGACACCGGGAACGGAACAGGAUCAGCAAUGGAACGGGAUUGGGAUUGGGAUGGGAUGGGAUGGGAUCGGGACACCAGGGACAGACUGGGAUUGGGAAUGGGAUUUGGAUGGGAUUGGGACACCGGGAACGGACAUUGGGAUCGGGACAUUGGGAUCAGAACGGGACCGGGACACCGGGAAUGGGAUCGGGAUCAGGAGAGCGAGAUCAGAGCGGGACAGCGGGAACGGACGGGAUUGGGAUGCCGGGAAUGGACUGGGACCGACAAUGGAACGGGAAUGGGAUUGGGAUUGGGAAUGGGAACAGGGCAGGAAUGGGAAUGGAAAUGGACCGGGAUUGGAUUGGGAUUGGGAGCAGGAAUGGCCCAGGAAUGGGAACGGGAACAGACUGGGAUCCCAGGAAUGGAGCAGGAAUGGGAUUGGGAACGGGAUCAGGAACGGGAUCAAAGCGGGGUCCCAGGAUUGGGAUCGGGAGCAGGAUCAGACCGGGAUUGGGAUUGGGAUCAGACCGGGAUCCUAGGAAUGGAUUGGGAUUGGGAACAGAGCGGGAUUGGGAAUGGGAAUGGACCAGGAUUGGAUUGGGAUUGGGAUUAGGAAUGGGAUCAGGAACAGACCAGGAUUGGGAUCAGGAAUGGGAUUGGGAAUGGGAACAGGGCGGGAAUGGGAAUGGGAACGGACCAGGAUUGGGAUUGGGAGCAGGAAUGGGAUCGGGAACAGGAACAGGAUUGGGAUCAGGAAUGGGAUUGGGAUUGGGAACAGGAUUGGGAUUGGGAAUGAGAUCAGGAACAGGAUUGGGAUUGGGAUCAGGAAUGGGAUCAGGAACAGACCAGGAUUGGGAUCAGAUUGGGAUUGGGAUCAGGAACGGACCAGGAUUGGGAUUGGGGUCAGGAAUGGGAUUGGGAUUGGGAACAGGGCGGGAAUGGGAAUGGGAAUGGACCGGGAUUGGAUUGGGAUCAGGAUCAGACCGGGAUUGGGAACAGGAUUGGGAUUGGGAAUGGGAUCAGGAACAGGAACGGAAUCAAAGCAGGGUCCUGGGAAUGGGAUCGGGAUCAGGAUCAGACCAGGAUUGGGAACAGGAUUGGGCCGGGAUCCUAGGAAUGGAUUGGGAUUGGGAACAGAGCGGGAAUGGGAUUGGGAUCAGGAAUGGGAUUGGGAUCAGGAACAGGAUUGGGGUCAGGAAUGGGAUUGGGAUUGGGAACAGGAUUGGGAUUGGGAAUGAGAUCAGGAACAGGAACAGGAUUGGGAUUGGGAUCAGACCGGGAUCCUAGGAAUGGAUUGGGAUUGGAAACAGAGCAGGAUUGGGAUUGGGAUCAGGAAUGGGAUUGGGAUCAGGAAUGGGAUCACAAACAGACCAGGAUUGGGGUCAGACCGGGAUUGGGAUCAGGAAUGGACCAGGAUUGGGAUUGGGAUCAGGAAUGGGAUUGGGAUCAGACCGGGAUUGGGAUUGGGAUCAGGAAUGGGAUUGGGAUUGGGAACAGAGCGGGAAUGGGAAUGGGAACGGACCAGGAUUGGAUCGGGAUUGGGGUCAGGAAUGGGAUUGGGAUUGGGAUCAGGAUCAGACUGAGAUUGGGAGCAGGAUUGGACCAGGAUUGGGAUUGGGAACAGGGCGGGAAUGGGAAUGCGCCAGGAUUGGGAUUGGGAUCGGGAUUGGGAUCAGGAUUGGAUUGGAUUGGGAUUGGGAUGGGGAUCAGGAUCGGGAACGGCAAUGGGAUCACACCGGGA